UUUAUUUUCCCAAAGAUCCUACAACUCUUGAUAGCAGAUCUGUGUCUCAUACUUCUCUUCCUCAGCAAAUGCCUUAAUUAAUUAGCAGUACCUAUUAAGCCCUACAAUGAUUGUUUUUCAGAAGUUUUAAACACUUUUUCCCCUUGAGGAGUGGAAUGAAACAGGGUAGGCAGUGUCCUAUAAUGGAAAAGAUGACUUGAGACAUCGCAGACCUGGGUUUUAACUCUGGUUCUGCUCUUCACCUCUUGCAUGGCAAGUUGUAUAGUUACCGGAUUGUCUGUUUUCUCAUUUGUAAAAUGGCAUGAUAGUGUUACCUUGCAAAAUUAUUAUGAUAAUGGUAUUAUCUUGCAGAAUAAAAUAUCUGGCUCAGGACCUGAAAUGUGUCCUUAGGAAAUGUUAGCUCUUUCAUAAUUACUAUGUGUCAUAAUUGGUUGCCAUAGAAUUUUUUAUGACAUCACUUUUGUAGGGACAAUGUCAGGAUAGGUUCUGUUAAAGUGAAUUAUUUCUCUGUACUUAUGUUUUAUGUCAUGGUUAGUGAGGAGUAUUGGUGAGACUGGCAGAAGGUAGGCAGCCAAGCUGGUGAGUGGAAGGCAUCCAGUAGAGGCUGCAUGGAGUCUUAUUAGGUCUUACCAGAGGGGCUGGAAGAGAAGUGAGACCAAUAAUUUGGAGCAGAGACCCUUGACGUACAAUCGUGAUGAAUGGGGAAAGUCUUCUGGAUUUGGUUAUUAAAAGGAAUCAUAUCUACUGUGUGAGGAAAGCUGCCUGUGGCACUGAUCUAAAUGAUAAAUGGAGAGAAGUCAAAAGAGACAAGGAAAGGAAUAUGCAGAAGCAAGAGGAUGUUUGGGAAAAGACUGUAAGUCAUUCUUCCACUUGGUUUUGGAAGGGUAACUUACAUGGCUGCCACCAGAAGCUGAUUGUAAAAGCUACAGACAUCACAGCUUUUGUGCCUACUAUUUUUUGCCCCUAUAUCAUAUUGUCCUAUUCCUUACAUCCUAUCGCUCACAGGAAUUUGUUGAACACUAGUUCUUAGCUGGAGAGCUAGAAGUACAAGAUGUGAAUGUGGAGCUCCCUGGCCUGGCCCUAAUGAAGCUUGCUAUCUAAAGAAAAUAUAGUUGACCUUUGAAUAAUAUGGGAUUGAGUGGUAUGGGGCCAUUUACAUGUGGAUUUUUUUUGCAAUAAAAACAAUACCAUAAAUGAUUUUUUCUUCUUU
rnacentral:lncRNA from 1 species